AACAUCCCCCGCUGGGCCGCAGCGGCACCACCACCCAAAGCAAAGCGGAGCUGCGGAAGCGCGAAGGGGACGCAAGGGAGCGAAGCGCGGCGCGUCAGCGGGCAAACCCUAGGCGUACGGCGGGCGCCACAGCCCCCCGGCGGGCGGGCUCCGCACGGCUCGGCAGCGCGGCUCGGCUCGAUUCCGUCGGGCGUGGCCCGGCCAGGCGGCCAUGUCGAACAGGUCCAUUUGCAAGUUCUUUGUGAAUGGUGCUUGCUUUAAAGGAGACUACUGCCAAUUCUCCCAUGACUGGAAUGAUCAACCAAAUGAUGUCUGCACAUUUUACCAGAAUGGUGUGUGCUCUUAUGGCAGCCGUUGCAGAUAUGAACAUGUUGAAGUUUCUUCUGAAUACACCCAACCAUCAACUACUGCAGCACUUGCACCAUCCAACUCUUAUCUGUCAUGGUGUCCUCUUUGUGAGGGGGAAAUAGAUGUGAGCAACCAGACGCACAAAAGUUUAUCGGUAUGCUCUGUGCAUCAGUCUACCUGGAGAUUUGAUGAUGAAGAUUGCAUUCCAGAGGAUGGGAACAGCUUGUCAUCAGCGCUAACUGCACAAAACCAAGCGCUCCACCCACUUGCUCAUCUGCCCAUAUGCUCUUUUGCCGCAGCUGGAACUUGUCCCUAUGGGAAAGAGUGCCCUCAGAUGCAUGGGGAUCCAUGCACAACCUGUGGAAAACAGUGCUUGCAUCCCUACCGGCCCAGCGAAGGUGGGGCUCAUAUCAAGCUCUGCAAGAGAAACAACAAACGUCUUGAGACCUUGAAAAAAAGUGAAGAGAUGGAAUGUAGUGUGUGUUUGGACCGUGUGCUUUCAAAGCCCACAGCAGCGGAAAAGAGGUUUGGGCUUCUACCUGAAUGUGACCAUGCCUUCUGUAUCACAUGCAUUAGGAAGUGGCGCAGCAGCUCUCUUACAUCUUCUAUGGAUAUCGACUCUACAGUCAAGGCUUGUCCAAUAUGCCGCAAAGUCUCGUACUAUGUCAUUCCUAGUGCUACAUGGUACUCCUCGAAGGAGGAAAAACAGGAUAUAAUUGACGGUUACAAGGCCAAGCUCAAGUCGAUUGAUUGUAGGUACUUUGACUUUGGAAGGGACACUUGCCCCUUUGGUGGUCGAUGUUUCUACAAGUACUGUAUGUUCUCCAGCAUGCCUACACCGAUGGGCGCUUGGAGGAGCCGGCAACGGUGGCUGUGCUUCAUUUUCAUGCCGACAAUGGAAGUAUAGAGCAUGCAAGAAAUAUUGGAUUGGCGUACUUGCUCAGCCGGUUACAUCUAUAGGUAAAGACAUGAAACCAUGCAUCUCAAAUUAAGAAGGAAGCAGUUGAGAAGAGAAGUACGUACUUACUUAGGGAGCCAUAACUUUCUCUCCCGCUGGUGGUUGCUGCCAACUUAUAAUCCACACGUAGUCAGCUGCUGUAAAAGCAGAGGGUUCCUGACCGUUGGAUCAUGUCUUCUCAAGACUUUCGUGGUUCUUACUCUUCACUGCUGAAUGCAGAAACUUCAGUUUGCCGCCGUAAAUCUCCAAAAAAGUUACAAGACAACUGUAAACCUAACGACAGCGGAGAUGUCAUGCCUCAGAUCAUCACGGGUUCCUUGUCAUGAACAAUCAUUGUGUUGUCUUUGGGCUAGGAGUUCUCCUGUCGAACAUCAGAACUUCACGUCGUUACCUUGCCCGUGUACGAAAGGCACUGUAUAUACUCGUAGUGGUACAUCCUGUCCGUUUCUCGUCCAUGGAGUAAAUAAUUUGUUCAGGCUAUACAGGUAGAACAGUGCAACGCAGAUCCUUCCAUACGUGAAUUUAUGCUUUGGCCCGCGGGUUGAAACCUG